rnacentral:RNase_P_RNA from 1 species
CGGCUUGUCGCUCAUUGCAUCAGCAAUGUGAGGAAAGUCCGGGCAACAUAGAGUGUCAUACUUCUUAACGGGAAGCUAUUCGUGAGGGUAGGGUUAAUGUGACAGAAAACAACCGCCUCGCAAGAGGUAAGGGUGAAAAGGCGGGGUAAGAGCCCACCGGGUUGUAUAGAAAUAUACAGCGCCGCACAUCCUAUGAGUUGCAAGACCAAGUAUAUCGGCAUUUAAGGGUUACUCGUCCAUUGCCGAGGGGUAGGUUGCUUAAGUUUGGUGGCGACAUCAAAUUCAGAUAAAUGACAGGCAGUACAUUGUAAUUCGAAUCAUUUAGAAGAGAUAAUGCAUGUAUACAUAACCCGGCUUAUAGCUUCACUGU